rnacentral:rRNA from 1 species
UACGUAGGGGGCGAGCGUUAUCCGGAUUCAUUGGGCGUAAAGCGCGCGUAGGCGGCCGCCUAAGCGGAACCUCUAACCCCGGGGCUCAACCUCGGGCCGGGUUCCGGACUGGGCGGCUCGAGUGCGGUAGAGGAGAGCGGAAUUCCCGGUGUAGCGGUGGAAUGCGCAGAUAUCGGGAAGAACACCGAUGGCGAAGGCAGCUCUCUGGGCCGUCACGGACGCUGAGGCGCGAAAGCUGGGGGAGCGAACAGG